GAUGAACGCUGGCGGCGUGCUUAACACAUGCAAGUCGAACGGAAAGUCUCUGCUAUUGUGGUUUGCUCGAGUGCCGAACGGGUGAGUAACACGUGAGUAACCUGCCCGUGACUUAAUGAUAACUCUACGAAACGCGUGCUAAUACCGGAUAUCAGCUUUUGAUCCACUGUGGCGUUUGGCAAUUUCCGGCGGUUAGGGAUGGUCUCGCGGCUUCUCAGCUUGUUUGUGGGGUAGUGGCUUACCAAGGCUUUGACGGGUAGCCGGCCUGAGAGGGUGACCGGCCACCGUGCGACUGUGGUACGGCCCAGACUCGUACGGGAGGCAGCGGUGGCGAAUAUUGCACAAUGGGCGGCAGCCUGGUGCAGCAACGCCGCGUGCGGGAUGACCGCCUUCGGGUUGUAACCCGCGUUCGCCUGUGACGACGCGUGAGUGACGGUAAUGGGUAAAGAAGCACCGGCUAACUACGUG
rnacentral:rRNA from 1 species